GGGUGCUUGAAGCUGUCUGCUUUGGGCAUUGUUUGAAUCAGUGCUGUAAGUGCCUUGGUAAAAAACAGUUGUUGUCAUAAAGCAGAUAGGAAAAAGCCCCGUACUGAAGUUAAUCAAUACGAGGCUCCCUAAUGCCUAGCAACAUUACGGUAGCUUCUUACCUGCUGAAAGGCAAGACAUGGAGGCCAAAUAUG
rfam:Yersinia intermedia ATCC 29909 contig01174, whole genome shotgun sequence.